UCGAACCUGCCUCAUACAGAGGGAUAAUCGUGUGAAAACGUGACUAAUACCGCAUGUCAUUACUGGAGGGCAUCCUCCGGUAAGAAAAGGAGCAAUCCGGUAUGAGAUGGGCCCGCAUCUGAUUAGCUAGUUGGUGAGAUAACAGCCCACCAAGGCGACGAUCAGUAGCCGACCUGAGAGGGUGAUCGGCCACAUUGGGACUGAGACACGGCCCAA
rnacentral:rRNA from 1 species